rnacentral:sRNA from 1 species
GCCGGGUAUGGUGGUACAUGCCUGUAAUCCCAGCAGCUCAGGGGGCUGAGGCGGGAGGAUUGCAAGUUCAAAAUCAGCCUCAGCAAUUUAGCAAGGCCAUCAGCAAUUUAGCGAGACCCUGUCUCAA